GAGGAGCCUGCGGCAGAUUAGCUAGUUGGUGAGGUAAUGGCUCACCAAGGCUUCGAUCUGUAGCUGGUCUGAGAGGACGGCCAGCCACACUGGCACUGACACACGGGCCAGACUCCUACGGGAGGCAGCAGUGGGGAAUUUUGGGCAAUGGGCGAAAGCCUGACCCAGCAACGCCGCGUGAGGGAGGAAAUCCUUCGGGAUGUAAACCUCACAAGCAAGGGAAGAGCGCUUUCGGUUGAAUAAACCGGAAGUCCGACGGUACCUUGCGUAAGCCACGGCUAACUACGUGCCAGCAGCCGCGGUAAUACGUAGGUGGCAAGCGUUGUUCGGAAUUACUGGGCGUAAAGGGCGCGUAGGCGGCUGGUUAAGUCGGCUGUGAAAGCCCGGGGCUCAACCCCGGAGGGUCGGCCGAUACUGGUCAGCUAGAGUACGGAAGAGGUAGCUGGAAUUCCCGGUGUAGCGGUGAAAUGCGUAGAUAUCGGGAGG
rnacentral:rRNA from 1 species